GAUGAACGCUGGCGGCGUGCUUAACACAUGCAAGUCGAACGGAAAGGCCCAAGCUUGCUUGGGUACUCGAGUGGCGAACGGGUGAGUAACACGUGGGUGAUCUGCCCUGCACUUCGGGAUAAGCCUGGGAAACUGGGUCUAAUACUGGAUAGGACCACUUCUUGGAUGGUGUGGUGGAAAGUUUUUUCGGUGUGGGAUGAGCUCGCGGCCUAUCAGCUUGUUGGUGGGGUAAUGGCCUACCAAGGCGUCGACGGGUAGCCGGCCUGAGAGGGUGUACGGCCACAUUGGGACUGAGAUACGGCCCAGACUCCUACGGGAGGCAGCAGUGGGGAAUAUUGCACAAUGGGCGCAAGCCGGAUGCAGCGACGCCGCGUGGGGAUGACGGCCUUCGGGUUGUAAACUCCUUUCGCUAGGGACGAAGCGUUUUUGUGACGGUACCUGGAGAAGAAGCACCGGCUAACUACGUG
rnacentral:rRNA from 1 species